CACAGAAGGAAAGAAACAUAAGGUUUUUGGUCCUGCCACUUAAAAACUAAUUGACCUUAGGAAAGGUACUUAAAUUCUCUGUACUUGUUUCCUCAUCAGUUAUAGACACUUAAUUAUAAGACCCUACCACAUUUAAUAAUACCUAUAACAUAUUUAGGAUAGUGCCUGGCACAUAGUGAACAUUGAAUAAAUGUUAGUGGUUGUUGCAGUUGCUAUUAUUGUUGUUAAUUUUAUUAUAAUACAUGGUUUAGUGUUCAAACAUAUACCUAUUCAGGAAGGGGUGCUAACUUCACUGAUGUGAGCUAGAAGGCAAGCUGGAAAUAGGUGGAAUUGGCUGACGGAUCCACCUUAAGAGAUUGCUAUGCCAAAUGUAAAGCAGGCAAGAGGAAGACCUUAUGAGGUAGGUAUACUUAAGCAAGACCAAGGGCUUCCAUGAUGAAUAUAUACCUCUGCCCUUUGAGUAGGAUCAUUUCCAUUUGAUUAAAAUCAGUUAAUCAUCUAUCUCCCUGUGACCCUGAGCUAGGCACACUGAAGAGGAAGAGCCAAGAUUACUUUAAGAAGACUUACCCGCAUGGCUGUUUCAAAAGAGCCUGCCAGGAUGUGAUCAACUGGAAGCUGAGAGUUAUUGCACCAGAUCUAACAAGAAACCAAAAACCCAAGCCAAAAGGAAGGAACAGAAAGAAGCUUGUUACACCCCAGCAAGUCUGAGAUUCUGAAAUAUGGCCUUCUUUGCAGGCAAGCUGCAUUCCUUCAAAAUCAGGGAGACCACUUGUCAUGUGAACUGCCCUAUGGAGAAGCCAGCAAGGCAAGAAACUGAUGUCUCCCAGACAACAAAGAGCAAGGACCUGAGGACUGCCGACAUCAUGGGCACCAGACAUAUUACCGCUUCUGCUGCACAUCAAAGAGUGUGAUAGAGUCUGCAUCUCGAAGCAGGAGGUUGCCUGUGCCAGCAUAGAAGA